ACACUGUUUACAAAAAAACCCAAACGAGUGGCAUUAGAGAAAUAAGCCGAAGUAUCAUAGGUCUUCUUCCCCACUUCUGAAAACCCCAGGUCCCUCCAGACUCUCUCAAAUCAGCUUUGUGAUUUCUCAACCAGAACAAAAUAGGUUCAACUGAAUGUGACUAGUGAUUAUUGCAGACGUUGAUGGUUGGGAAUUUCACUUUGGUUCUUAGUGGCUUUGGAUCUAGACUUGGCUUAUCUCAAUAAGGAAGCAUGCUUAUACACAACUAAAGCAGUUUGAGCAGCUCAGGUUCUCCAGAUUGGUGAUGGAUUGCAAUAAAGAAGAGGCCAUUAGGGCCAAGGGAAUUGCAGAGAAGAAGAUGCAGAGCAAGGAUUUUGUGGCGGCCCGUAAAAUUGCUAUAAAGGCGCAACAACUCUAUCCUGAUCUGGAGAAUAUAUCUCAGAUGCUUAUGGUUUGUGAAGUGCAUUGCUCUGCUGAGCAGAAAUUGUUUGGGAAUGAGAUGGACUGGUAUGGUAUUCUUCAGAUUGAUCAAACAGCGAAUGAGCUAACAAUUAAGAAGCAGUACAGGAAGUUUGCUCUCCAACUUCAUCCUGAUAAAAACAAGUUUGCUGGUGCAGAAGCUGCUUUUAAGCUGAUUGGAGAAGCUCAAAGAGUGCUUCUCGACCGUGACAAACGAAGCAUGCAUGACCUGAAACGCAAGGCUUCUGUGAGAAAACCGACUGUGCCAUAUCGACCCCCGCAGAAGGCAAGUUGGAAUUCGAAUGUUGGAGUUCAAAACAACUUCAGAGGUAACUUUUCAAACAUUAAUCCCCAGAACCAGCAGCAACAGCAGCCCUUUCCACCAGGGUAUUCAGAUUCCCGCUCUACUUUUUGGACUGUUUGCCCAUUUUGUUCAGUUAAGUAUCAGUAUUAUAGAGAAGUUCUUAAUAGAUCUCUUCGUUGUCAAAGUUGCAAUAAGCCCUUCGUUGCAUAUGACACAAAUGUGCCAGGUGCACCACCACCAACUAACUUAAGUCAGCAGGCAUUCCCCCAGCAAAAAGAUGGUACUAACAAAUCUGAAGUGAGAUUUCCAGGGAAUGCUGGAGCUGAUAAUUCCAAAGCUGAAUCUUUCCGAAAGACAGGUCAAAAGGCAGGUAGCUCUUCUGGUGUUCACUUAGUUAGGGUGACGCGUAAAAGAAGGGGUGUAAUAGAAUCCAGUGAAAGCUCUGACUCAGAAAGCAGCAGUGAAUCUGAAGAGGAUAUGGUCAUUGAUGAUGCUGUUCUUCAGGCUGGACUGAAAUCAGGAAUUUAUGGAGAGCAGCAACCACGGAGAUCUUCACGCCAUAAGCAGCAGGUUUCUUAUAAGGAAAAUCUAAGCGAUGAUGAUGGCAUUCCUCCAUCAAAAAGGGAGAAGAGGAGUGGCUCGUCGUGUGCCACUGAAGAGGAGGAUGAAGACGCAUCUAAAGAGGAGGCCUCUAAAAUGAGUAAUCAAUCUGAUUGUGCUACUGGCACUAAAGGCGAUGAGGAAAGGGUAAAACAGAAAGAAAGUGCUUGUUUUGAAGAGUGCUUAACAAAAAGUGUCGGGGAAACCAAGAAGUUUGAGGCUAAAGAAAGGGUGAAGGUAUUUAAUUGUGAGAAAAAUUCUGAGGCUCAUGAGAGUUCUCCAUUAGAUAAAAGCUCCCAGGAGGAACAAGAAGCAGACCCCUUUUUCUCAUUUCCUGAUAGUGAGUUCAACGACUUUGAGAAGAUCCGGAAAGAAGAAUGCUUUGAAGUGGGGCAGGUGUGGGCUAUUUAUGAUACUCGAAAUGGGAUGCCAAGAUACUAUGCUAGAAUCAAGAAAGUUCACCUUCCUGGAUUCAAGGUGCAGAUAACGUGGCUAGAGCCAGACCCUGAAGAUGAUAAUGAAAUGAAAUGGGCUGAAGCAGGCUUGCCAUUUUCUUGUGGGAAAUUUAGACAAGGUCACUCUGAAACCAGGAAAGAUCAUCUCAUGUUCUCUCAUACGAUGUCUUGGGAGAAGAUUAAAAGUUAUUACCAGAUAUAUCCAAGAAAGGGGGAGACUUGGGCCAUUUUCAAGAACUGGAGUCUAAACUGGUACUCUGAUCUGGACUCUAAUCCUAAGCCUAAGUUUGAAUAUGAAUUUGUUAAAAUUUUGUCAGACUAUGCUGAGGGUGUUGGAAUAUGGGUUGCACUCUUGGAGAAGGUGAAAGACACUGUGAGUGUUUUCUGUCAAAGACUAAAUGAUGGGAAAGGUAUUUUAAAAGUUCUACCAGGUGAGUUAUUGAGGUUCUCCCACAGAGUUCCGUCCUUUAUGUUGACCGGUGAUGAAGGAGUAGGAGUGCCAUCAGGAUCGUUUGAGCUUGAUCCUGCCUCUUUGCCUUUUGAUAAUGAAGAAGUUCCUGUUUCUAAAGAUCUUAAAACGGAGGCUAGUACUCAUCCUAAUGGGUUUUCUACAUCUCCAGAUACAGUCAAUGAAGAUAGUAAUGCUCGCAAAGUAUCAUCCUCAGAAGGUAUUGAAAUUCCAGAAGCUGAAUUCUACAACUUUGAUGCUGAUAAAUCCCUGGCCACGUUUCAGAUUGGUGAGGUCUGGGCAUUAUAUAGUGAUGAGGAUGGUUUGCCAAAAUACUAUGGUCUGGUCAAGAACAUUGAUUCUCGCCGAUUAAAAUUGCAUAUUGCCUGGCUUGAUUCCAACUCACUGCCAGACAAUGUGAUUCGGUGGCAUGACGAAGAGAUGCCCAUUUGUUGCGGGAGAUUUAGGGUUAAAAGAAGUCCACUCCAGGACUAUGAUUCUUUCAUGUCCUUUUCACAUCGGGUAAAAGCACUUCCUGUUAGUAAGAAUGAAUUUGAAAUAUUUCCUAGGAGAGGUGAGGUUUGGGCAUUGUAUAAGAACUGGGCUGCUGAUAUCUCAUGUUCUGACUUGGAAACCUGCGAGUAUGACAUAGUGGCAGUACAUGCGGAAAAUGAUUUGCAGAGAGAGGUCUUGGUUUUAGAGCGUGUGGAUGGUUACAAUUCAGUUUUCAAGACUCGAGUGAAAGGAAGAUCAGCUGAAAUGAUGACUAUCCCGGAGGUUGAGCUGCUGAGGUUUUCUCACAGCAUUCCUUCAUUCCAGCUAACAGAAGAGAAAGGUGGCAGCCUGAGAGGCUGCUGGGAACUGGAUCCUGCUGCAUUGCCCGUUCGUUUCUUCAGUUAGACUUGAGUUGGCAAUGUGGACUGGUCUUAUGCCUUAUAAUGCACGUUCCCGGAUUCAACCAAUGCCUCUCUAGCUUGGGCCUUUUCCCGGAAUGCUGGUGUGGAAAAUGGAACGAUCUGGGAGAAGAUUCUUUUGUAUUUUAGUGCGACUCAGCCUGCUCAGUUCUGAUAAAUGGACCAGCCCUCUUUUGUGUGUACUCCGACGAAGGUAUUUUUCCAACAACUUUUGUGGGCCAGCCUCAUUUCAUCCUAGUUUUGCAAGGGCAUUCUCGAUAUUAAAGUCUUCAACAAAUGAACACUUCUGGUACCAUGUCCAGCUGCCGCCAGAAAGUACUUGAGGCAAUUGAAUAGCAUUCGAUUGAUAUCACUUCGCAUUAUAGUUCAUGAGUACUUUAUUUGCCCCUUCAAUCACGUUACAUUACACGUGAUAAGAGUUUCAUAUGACGAAACGUAAUUGGAUGGGGAUAGCAAAAUAUUGGAGAUAUGUUAUUUUCGUGACAUGCAAGUUUUUUUCUGCUGAAGCUUUUUAAAGACUUUAAUGUAGGGCUUUUAGUUUUACUUCUUCAUUCAACUUCAGUUUCUUGAGGAUUCGAUUAUAAACAAUGACAGAUUUGGCA